GCUGCAACUGUUUAUUAAAAACACAGCACUGUGCAAAAUCGUAAGAUGACGUAUACGGUGUGACGCCUGCCCGGUGCCGGAAGGUUAAUUGAUGGGGUUAGACUUCGGUCGAAGCUCUUGAUCGAAGCCCCGGUAAACGGCGGCCGUAACUAUAACGGUCCUAAGGUAGCGAAAUUCCUUGUCGGGUAAGUUCCGACCUGCACGAAUGGCGUAAUGAUGGCCACGCUGUCUCCACCCGAGACUCAGUGAAAUUGAAAUCGCUGUGAAGAUGCAGUGUACCCGCGGCUAGACGGAAAGACCCCGUGAACCUUUACUACAGCUUGGCACUGAACAUUGACCCUACAUGUGUAGGAUAGGUGGGAGGCUUUGAAGCACGUACGCCAGUAUGUGUGGAGCCGUCCUUGAAAUACCACCCUUGUAGUGUUGAUGUUCUAACGUUGACCCCUUAUCGGGGUUGCGGACAGUGCCUGGUGGGUAGUUUGACUGGGGCGGUCUCCUCCCAAAGAGUAACGGAGGAGCACGAAGGUGGGCUAAUCACGGUUGGACAUCGUGAGGUUAGUGCAAUGGCAUAAGCCCGCUUGACUGCGAGAAUGACAAUUCGAGCAGGUGCGAAAGCAGGUCAUAGUGAUCCGGUGGUUCUGAAUGGAAGGGCCAUCGCUCAACGGAUAAAAGGUACUCCGGGGAUAACAGGCUGAUACCGCCCAAGAGUUCAUAUCGACGGCGGUGUUUGGCACCUCGAUGUCGGCUCAUCACAUCCUGGGGCUGAAGUCGGUCCCAAGGGUAUGGCUGUUCGCCAUUUAAAGUGGUACGCGAGCUGGGUUUAGAACGUCGUGAGACAGUUCGGUCCCUAUCUGCCGUGGGCGUUGGAAGAUUGAAGGGGGCUGCUCCUAGUACGAGAGGACCGGAGUGGACGAACCUCUGGUGUUCGGGUUGUGUCGCCAGACGCAUUGCCCGGUAGCUAAGUUCGGAAUCGAUAACCGCUGAAAGCAUCUAAGCGGGAAGCGAGCCCUGAGAUGAGUCUUCCCUGAUACUUUAAGUAUCCUAAAGGGUUGUCGGAGACUACGACGUUGAUAGGUCAGGUGUGUAAGUGCUGUGAGGCAUUGAGCUAACUGAUACUAAUUGCCCGUGAGGCUUAACCAUACAACACCCAAGGGGUUU
rnacentral:rRNA from 1 species